rnacentral:rRNA from 1 species
UACGUAGGGGGCCAGCGUUGUCCGGAAUCAUUGGCGUAAACGCGCGCGUAGGCGGUCAGGUAAGUCCGGUGUGAAAGUCAAAGGCUCACCUUUGAAUGCCGCUGGAGUACUGCCUGACUUGAGUCGGAAGGGGCGAGUGGAAUUCCGUGGUGUAGCGGUGAAAUGCGCAGAUAUCAGGAGGAACACCAAUGGCGAAGGCAG